AUGUACGCUGUGCUAACAUUUGAUAAGACAAACUGUAUACACUAAUUCAUAUUUUCCUGUACCAAUAUUAAUGUAGCAUAUAGGUUAUAGUGAAUUGUUAAUCUCCAUGACAUACACAAAUUUUCAAAAUCAUGCAUAAGGAGCAUAUUGCACAGCCAGUGUCAUCAAAAAAAGCAUAUUGCACAGCCAGUCUUUAGGAGUAAUCAUUUUGAACCUUAGACCUCUUGGUCUUAUUCUAGGCAAUAUUA
rnacentral:misc_RNA from 1 species